UCUUUCUGUUUUCUUUAUAUUGUAUUAUAAAUAAAGUUCUAAACAGUGACAUUUUUUUUGUAACAGAUAGUGGACAAUGUUGAACAGAGUUGAAGUCCUGGAAUCUCGGUCAACUGCAGAUAGCAGCAUGGCGUAAAGCAGACGUCUUGUUUCCCAGUCCAAUUUUAGUCAGGUAUUCUUGGUGGUAUGAAACUGCAGUCAACACAGGUUUUUAGAGGUCUGCAAGUACAGAGUUUUAAAUUGUGAAACAAAGCCUCUAACCAGAUCACA